GGAGAGAUGGCUCAGUGGUUAAGAGCACUGUCUGCUCCUCCAGAGGUCCUGAGUUCGAUUCCCAGCAACCACU
rnacentral:tRNA from 1 species